rnacentral:snoRNA from 1 species
UACAAUAGUCAAACAAAUAACAUUGCCCAGCUCAUUAUGAGACCUUAUAUUUAAGGUCUGGGAAUAUACUCCGUUUCCAACACAUAUAUCUGAGCUUCGCC